rnacentral:rRNA from 1 species
GGACUACAGGGGUAUCUAAUCCCGUUCGCUCCCCUGGCUUUCGCGCCUCAACGUCAGUCGGAGUCCAGGACCUCGCUUUCGCCGUCGGCGUUCCUGCCGAUCUCAACGCAUUUCACCGCUCCACCGGCAGUUCCAGGUCCCCCUCCUCCACUCGAGGCCGGCCAUCUCGGCGCCUGUUCCCCGGUUAAGCCGGGGGCUUUCAGCGUCCGAUGCACCGACCCGUCUACGCGCCCUUUAAGCCCAAUGAUUCCGAAUAACGUUCGCACGGUUCGUCUUACCGCGGCUGCUGGCAC